rnacentral:misc_RNA from 1 species
GUGAAUAAAAAAAAUUCAACGAAGACCAGUAUGAAUUGUUAAGCUGUACAGGGAUAUGCAAAUUUGAUUGUGGAAAUAGAUGACAUUGCAAGCAUGUCAUACUACAAAGGCCAACUCAUGCCAAGGGAAUGCAGCAUUUCAGUUAAUCAUGAUCAUAAUAUUGCAUAUUAAUAGAAGGUUGAUAAAGCUUACACUGAAUACACUUGAGGCUGACAACCAUUUUUCUGACAACCAUUUUUCAGAUUAUAUAUAGCUUAAUCUUUGUGUGCAAAACCUAUAAAAAUUACCACCAUUUCUGUAAUAUAAUGCAUCUGACAGUUUAGACCAUGGAUGCCAUGUGAAAAGGACAACUCCCUGUUGCAAGUGUGUAUCUAUAUAUCUAUACUUUCGUUUCUGUAAAAACAAUAAAGAUCGCAGGCAACCUUGUCACCGUUUUGACGUCCACAGCUUCCUCUGAUAUGCCAGAAGCUGAAAUAAUUAAAGCAGCAGAAACAGAAAAUUAUUAAGGUACACCUUUAUCUACCAUCAUAUAGAACUAAGCUGAAAUAACACAAACUCACCAGAUGCCCUUGAGUAAAAUUACCGGUUUUAAGUCCUGCCAGAGUUUCUUUGUCCUCUAAAACCUGCAACUUAUCUUUGCAUGAAUCAAUUGUAAUAGGCAUAGAAAUUGAUAGACUUGUGCGGGUCGAAGAAUUAGACACAGAAUUCAACUCUUUCACCAGGUAUAUCUCAACUUCAUCUGCUGGCAGAGCAGUCUGGAGAGCAACAUACUCACAUAAGUGUUUGACUGACAAAGUUGGCCUGCAGCAGAGGUACGGCCUCUGUAAACUAGGUAGUCUUUGUUCAUCAAAAGAAACAAGCAUGAGGUGGAAAUCCAACUCGUUAUCAUUUUCCUCCAAAUUUCGAAGAUAAUCUGCCAACUUAGAGAUCCGGCUGUUCCGGACAUUCUUUCCAUUGCCAGCAUUUGCACUGCCAUAUCUUGUGUGACUCCGCAUACCACCUUUCCCCCAGGCAAGCCUUUCUGAAGGGCCAACAAGCCCAGCAGAAGACCCCAUGGAUUCUCUAUUCACUUCUGAAUCAUUUUCAUCUCCACCUGCAUCUGCAAAAGCAGCUGCUGAGUGAGAACCCCCCCAUCUCUUGUAUCUUUUUGGUUUAACUUCUGCACUGUGCUCCUCAGCAGAUGAUGAAUCUUUGCAUCCAUCACCAUUGGCAUCUUCAUUGUCAUCAGACCCUUGAAUAUCAGCUGUUUGAUAAUUUCUCCUCCCUCUUGGGUGGGCAUCUCUGUGACGGCCUGGUGUUCUCCUAGAAAAUGCAGCUAUUGUGGCUUUAGAUGUUGUCCGUUUCCUACCAAGAGCUUCAGCUUGUCGGCGAAAAGUCUGGGCAAUGGAAGCUUGGAUCUGCUUAUUGCGAGCCUUCUCCUCCUCAUGAAAAGCCAACUCCUCUUCCUCAUAUUUGUCAAUAUCUGGAUACAAAGCGGCUAUUAGUGCAUCAUAAUUUGGGUCAUCUCUCAGCGAACGACGACUGGCACAGUGGGUGCGGCAAGCAGGGCACUCAUUGUUCCCAAGCCUCAUAGAUUUGUCUAUGCAUUCCCUACAGAAGCGAUGCAGGCAUUCCAUCACUGUCCUGGUUUUUCGAAUAAUCCCUAAACAGAUUGGACAUUGCACUUCCUUGCGUAUUUCAGACAACUUCACUACAACAUAUCUGCAUAGAAGCAAGACCAGAAACAAUAUUAGUUUCCAGCAUAUUACAUUGUUCAUGACUAGUUGUUGAUGCUACAUUGCCUCUUGCCUUUCCUUUUCCAUGCACAAGCAUCUAUUGAUUCUAAUCUCUAAAUUAAAUGAGUGACCUUUCAAAUGCGUGAAGUCACAGUAAAGCUAAUUGUGCUGCAUAUCAAUAUGCCAAACUAUUUCAUGUGACUAUAAGAUCACAAGAAAAGCCAAUUGAGACUUUACAUAUCAGAAAAGUAUUGGUAGCACUAUUGAAUGGGGAGAUCAAAGGAAAAUGCAAACUUGGCUGCACUUUUUUUGGCUGUUCAGAGUUAUAACAAAAAUGUGACUAGCAGAAUGCUCUGAGACAUACAGAAUCCUUCUGAAGUAAUGUAUGAUAAAAGGACACCCAAAAUAUUUGAAGGUUAAUAUUUUAAAGUUUUGCUUCAAAGUUGAGAUCUUUAUGUUUCACAUGUUAAUAUGAGUUCAAUCAACUGUGGGUACAACAAAGACUCAUGUCUUUAUCAUGAAAUAUUAUCCUAAAAGUUUAACUGAAUCAGACAUUUGAAUGUGGUUCAAUAACUUUUCAGGCACAAGCCUAGCUUUGGAGCUUCCAAAAGAAAGGAAAAAGAAGGAACAUCUCUUCUGGGGAACUGGAAAAGAUUCUCUGGAGGCCAAUUUCACCCUAUCACAAGUUUUUGUACCAUAUAGAAAAAGCCAAAAAUGUCCCAAAGGCAUAUCCAUUAAGAAUAUGAAGCACCUCCCCCAAAAAGCCUUGAUAUAUAGUUUCCAUUGUAUAUCAAUCAUAUAGCAAAUGAAGCAUAAGUAGCUAAUAUGGUGUUUUAUAUAAAUGAAUCCAAUAGAUUAAGCAGGCUCUGAAAUUCCCCCAACCAUAUAUGCAAUCAAAAGAAUUUUGUUUUACAGACAUUUUUCAGAUGGAUACCAAUCAAAUGAAGACUUAUCAAUAGCAGCUUGGUGGUGUAAAAUCCUCAGUCUCAAAACAAAUUGCAUAAUAUAACUAAAUUUCAGCCAAUCUAUAUAGAUAAUCAAUAUGUUGCAUAAGCCUAACAUGAACUAGCACAAUUGACAUUUGGCAAUACCCAUUCGUUUCAUCUUUUGGGUUGAUACUUUGUCUUAAGUGUGACAUGCUGCACUACAAACAUGAGACUACAUGCUGGUUUAGCAUUUCCACCCAAUAAAAACACCAAAUAGUCAGAUGUUGUAGUUUGUCAAGAUCUGAUAUCUAAAUCCAGCAAUCUGUGAAAAAAAAUGAUUACCAAUUAUGACAUAGUGCAAUGAAAUUUUUCAGAAGAGAUUUUUUCAAUUACAACAAAUUUGUAAAAUUACUAAAAACAAAGACGUAAACUAUGUUUGGAAUCAUGAUUAUAUUGCAUAAUCCCCAUUGUUGCAACAUUUGGUAAAUAUCAUUUUAUGGUUCCAUGAGAUACAUUGUGUAAUCCAAAAAAAGAAAAAGGGAAAUAAAAACAAAAUUGCCAUUAUGAAAUACAAACCUUCUAGAGUUACUGAGAUAAAAUGCAAAGACCAACAGAACAGCAUUCUGAUAGAAAUUAACAUACCAAAAAAGAAAAAGAAGAAGAAUAAGAAAUGGGUCAAACCAAUUAGUUCAAACAAACGCAAUGUGAUUCUUGACCCUCGAUAACGCAAAAGGGAACACAAUUAACAUGUCAAAACAGCUAGAAUACUCGGUGAAUCGUGUUCCUUUAUAAUGGAUUUGCAUAACAUAGGUUGGCCAAGAAUUUGACAGCCAAUACGCAAUUACGAAGCUGCCAGUUAAACCAAAAUCUCAGUUCCAUUGAUUUAGCCUCUUCCUAUCCGAAACUAGAAAGCAAACUAAUAAUCUAGCAAUCACGCAGCCACAGGAUUCCUACAGAGCAUUCAGACACAAAUUUCACCAGCAUAAACAAAUCCCAAUACGAUGCUGCAACUGUAUAACCAACCAUAAAUCAUAACAGGAGAAACUAACUCUAGUGCUCAUACACCAAUUCGAGCCAAAAUCACCACGUAUCGUAACGCCCACCACAGAACUCCACCUACCGUCAAUUAAGACAAGAUUACGCAUCAACAGAAAAGACAGCAAAGAGAGAGAUAACAUCUGAACAAUAACGAGUUAAGCCAACCAUAGCCAGCCAGCAAAAGCUUGAAAAAUCAACGAUAGAUAUUUUAACAACGGGAAUCCUCUACAAACCCACAUAAGCUUAUCCCUUAGUAUACUCGUAAAAUGUGACGAGCAAAACAGCAGCAGACAAACAAAGCAUGCAGAUCCCAAAUCAAAACCUCACCAUUCACGCAUCAAAAGCAACAAUACAAUCGAAUAGAACGUGGCGAUCCAGAGAAGAAGAAGAAGAAAAGAAUGUUCAACCAAAACAAGCAACAAACAGACAAUUACGUACUCCUCUUUCUCCUCUUCAUUACUCGAAGAUGGGCUUCGAUCGGAUUCUGUGAAACAACAGAAAAACAACGCCAAAGAGAAGAACUUCAGCUAAACGACAAUCAAAUCCGAAAACAAAAUGCACAAACUUUGUGAGUUCUCUUUUUCCCUUUACUCUGCUAUAAAAUUGUGUAGUUGUACACGUACCAUCAGCAACAUCAUCAUCACCAUCACCAGGCGGCGACUGCUGCAGUUCAUGGUGGUUGUUGGGUUGGUCUCGCUGCAGAGGAUCAUCGUCCUUUUGAUGGGUCUCGUAAGGGCGUUUCUGGGCUGGCAUUUUUUUUGCUUAUAUUGAAAAAUCCAACAAUGAAAGCAAUUUAUGGGAUGUUUUCUCUGCCGCAAAGAUGUUAAAGGUUAAUGUUGCUGCUCCUCGAUUAUAUAGAUAAAGGGCCGCGGAGAGGAAGAGCGAAAGCCAGAGAGAUUGAAGGUGGUCGAAUAUAGCUUGACCUCCCUGCCGCGUUAGAGAAUAGAGAGAGAGAUUAUAAAGAAAGUCGUAUGAGCAGAGGCUGCCUGUCUCUCGUGGUCGUGGUACUCACCGGGCCUCUAUUGUAUUAUACGUAUGUGUACUCUCUUAUAUAUAACAAUAACAUCACCCUUCUGUUUUUU